GCAAGCUUAUCUCUUCAAAGACUCAUCCUUCUCCUCCUUCUUCUUCAUCAAGCCAGACUUUUUCUUGAAAGCUCUGACGACUAAAAGCAAGCUUCUCCGACAACUCUUCGGCAAGUGUAGAGGAGGCCUUACCCCUGUAGAAAUCCGGGAUUCAUGCCUACACCUUGCAACCUUAGUUCUUAUUUACUCUUCCAUGUUUUUGAGCUUGAUCCUUGUGUUGUGAAAGCUUUGUUUAAUUCUUUGAGCAUGUUGAGUCUGAGAUUUUUUUUUCUGAAUUUGUCCUUCAUGUGAUGGAUUGUGGUUUAUCAUCUUGGGUUAUUAUGUGUAGCAUGCCAUUGUAAUUUAAGUUAUUGGCUCUAUGUAUGCAUGCUGUAACAUUGAGCUUGAUGUGAACCUGCAACCUUGUUGUGUUAUGAUUCUAAUUAUCUUUCUUGCUUUUGUAAGCUUGAGCAUGUAACCUUUUAGUUAGCCUUUAUUUGUGUUUAAAUGCCUGUAAGCAUGAGAUUUUAGAAGUGUACUUAAGAGCUUAAUAAUUUUAAGAUCUGAUUUUCUGAAAUUUUAAUUGCUUUAUUAUGUUUAUUAUUUUUAUAUCAGCAUGACAUCUAGACUUAGUUUAUACAUACACCUGUGUAAGCAUGUUUGGUUUAGUAGAUGAUGAAUUUCUUUAGAAUGCAUUAUCUGUAUUUUUCUUGCUAUUAAUUUAUAUGAGACCAAUGAAUGCCUUUAGUUUAGUUAUGAUAUUUUUAUAUGCAUCAUGUAAACUUGGACCUGUAAACUAACAUUCAUGCUCUAAAUUAUUUUAGAUAUACAUUUUCAUAUUUAUAAACUUGAAAUUUUGAGUGUGCAGCCAUGUUAUAAGUUAGUUGUUAUUUAUUAACAUUUGGUUAUAUAAGCAUGGUAUUGUCUUUAAUCAUUCAUGUUUUUGUUAUUUUCAUAUGUGAAUACUUUUAUGCUCAUGGUUGUUCUGAUCUCAGCUUGAAAUUUGGUUGUUAUUUAGCACUUGUUAGUUAGAAAGUUUGUUGUUUAAAUUCCCGUUGUGUAAAGCUGGGGCUAUAGUUGUAAGUUAGGCCCAGCCCAAGAAUUAUUUUUGAGUGUAGUUUUUUGUUAGGCUAGAUUAUUGUAGCGAGACUUAGUUCGCGAGACUUGGUGAACCCGACUCUGUAGCUCGGAGCCAGGUAGGCUCUCGCACCGCAAAACUCCGUAUUUCUGACAAUUAUUAUUCAUUUAUUUAUUUAUUUCAUUAUCGUUGUAAUUUAAUUUAUUAUAUAAUUGCUUGAUACCUAUUCUAGUUAUUUCAUUACUUUAUUUUUGCAUUAUUUUUUUGGUAUUUUCUCUGUAUGUAUUCUGUAUUUCUGCGGUUUUUAGUACAUCUCCUUUCCUGGCUCGUCCAGCUAGGAGGAGUAAGUCCUAGCCAUGUGCACAUCUUUUCUGUAGUAGCGCUACCCCCCGCUGCGGUCGAAGAUCCGGCUAUGACUGUUGAUAUUCUGUUCUAUUCUGUUCCGAUUUCAUAGUCGAUGAUCCAGCCUCGUGCUGUUGAUUUCUGUUAUUAGUCAGGGAGAUGUACAUGACUGUUUUCUGAGAAGAUCAAGUCUAGGAUCGGGGGUGUCUUGGAGUCAUAUUUCCUGUUUAGGUAGUAUUUUUGUAGUGCACUCUUUGUGUGAGUAAGAUUCGUAUCCGUCUGUAUAUUUUGGUCUGUAGAUUGCUUGUAUGACUCUGUAUUUAUGUAGGGCUACUUAAGCCCAUACAUGUAAUAUUUCGGUUCCUGUCAUCUUAUUUGUGAUUCUGUAUUGCUGUUCAUUCUGCUUGUUAGGGUUGACUCUGACCAGGUCAAAUCUGAGACCUUGCACCCAGUGGGACCCAGACCUAUUGGAUGUGACCGAUCUGUCUGCGAGCCUGACUGUGGGACUAGGACGUGACAGUAUCAAACCUAGAGUUAAUGCAUAUGUUUUUUCGGAAAAGAAACCUUUCUAUUAUUUUCUUAAUUUAACAAAAAAAAA